GACGAACGCUGGCGGCGUGCCUAAUACAUGCCAGUCGAGCGCUCAGGCGUGAUCCUUGCACCUACUGUAUGAGCAGCGCACGGGUGAGUAACGCGUGGGGAAUCUCCCUUUGAGCGGGGGACAACAUUUGGAAACGAAUGCUAAUACCGCAUAAAACCUUUAACCACAUGUUUUAAGUUUGAAAGAUGCUCUUGCAUCACUCAAAGAUGAUCCCGCGUGGUAUUAGCUAGUUGGUGAGGUAAAGGCUCACCAAGGCGAUGAUACAUAGCCGACCUGAGAGGGGGAUCGGCCAAAUUGGGACUGAGAAACGGCCCAAACUCCUACGGGAGGCAGCAGUAGGGAAUCUUCGGCAAUGGACGAAAGUCUGACCGAGCAACGCCGCGUGAGUGAAGAAGGUUUUCGGAUCGUAAAACUCUGUUGGUAGGGAAGAACGAUGGUGGGAGGGGAAAGCUCACAAAGUGACGGUAACUAACCAGAAAGGGACGGCUAACUACGUG
rnacentral:rRNA from 1 species